rnacentral:rRNA from 1 species
AUUGAACGCUGGCGGCAUGCCUUACACAUGCAAGUCGAACGGCAGCGCGGACUUCGGUCUGGCGGCGAGUGGCGAACGGGUGAGUAAUACAUCGGAACGUACCCUGUUGUGGGGGAUAACUAGUCGAAAGAUUAGCUAAUACCGCAUACGACCUGAGGGUGAAAGUGGGGGACCGGAAACGGCCUCAUGCAGCUGGAGCGGCCGAUGUCUGAUUAGCUAGUUGGUGGGGUAAAGGCCCACCAAGGCGACGAUCAGUAGCUGGUCUGAGAGGACGAUCAGCCACACUGGGACUGAGACACGGCCCAGACUCCUACGGGAGGCAGCAGUGGGGAAUUUUGGACAAUGGGGGCAACCCUGAUCCAGCAAUGCCGCGUGUGUGAAGAAGGCCUUCGGGUUGUAAAGCACUUUUGUCCGGAAAGAAAUCGCGCUGGUUAAUACCUGGCGUGGAUGACGGUACCGGAAGAAUAAGCACCGGCUAACUACGUG